CUACUUCAAUAACAAAUGUUGGUUUGGUUCCAAAUAAUCCAUAGUUAUAUCCAAAUAGCGGCGUUUUGUUGUGCGUUCAAGACACUAUCCGAAGGGUAAAGAAGGGUGAUGCGCCCGGCGCGUUUCGUGACAAAAAAAUUCAAAAUAUCCCAUUACCGUACUUCGAAGCAUGUCAAACGCUGUUUAAAAUCAAUUUUUAUGCGAUUUUUCUCGUAAAAAAAGCGAUAAUAUUCCGACCGGGAAACCCUGUUUUUGUUCAAAGACUGAAAAUAAAAACAUGGAGUCGUCUCGUGCACACCAGUCUCAUUGUUCUCAGAUCGACCACUUACCAAAUGCGCUACUGUUUUUCAGCCAUGGCCUGCAAAGUCAUCAUUCAAUGUUCUGGCGCCUUCUGAGAGCCUAUGGGAGCAUUAGAAAAUGUCACGUUACAGCAGAGAUCCCCUGUUUUGGAUAGAGAUGAUCAAGAAGUGCCCUGUCUGAAAAUUUGUUAGUGGCUGGUUACAGUACUGUGAGACUCAGGCUCGUGCCCGCGUCGACCGAAAGCUUUGUUUUCCUUUGUCUGUUUAGCUAAAAGGAGAUUCCCGGUCGGAAUAUUAUCGCUUUUUUACGAGAAAAAUGGCAUAAAAAUUGAUUUUAAACAGCGGUUGACAUGCUUCGAAGUACGGUAAUGGAAUAUAUAGAAAUCUUUUGUCACGAAUUGCGCCAUGCUCGCGACCCUGAUUUACCAUUUCGGAUAGUGUCUGGGACGCAUGAACAAAAUGCCGCUAUUCGGAUAUAACGAUGGAUUAUUUUGGACCAAACCAAACUUUGUUAUUGAAAAUGCACUCCCAGGAAUUCUACUUCAACAACAAAUGUUGUUUUGGUUCGAAAUAAUCCAUAGUCUUAUCCAAAUACCUCCGUUCUGUUUGUGCGUUCAGGUCAGUAUCCGAGUGCAUUUCGUGAC
rnacentral:lncRNA from 1 species